CCAUAACGAGUGGGUGAUUGCAUGAAUCAUGCCUCGCUUUCUCUCCCCCAACACAGCAAUUCACCCACAUUUGUUCAUUACUCAGACUUGUUUGCCAAAUAAUUUAUGCACAUAAUUUCAGAUGGGUAAUUCAUUCACAUGCAGCCUGGACGAGUAUUUAGCAAUUGAAAUGAGAAAGUCAAGAUGUUUUGUUUGGGCUCACAAGUUUUUGUCUCAUGAUUAACUCUCGAAACCGCAAGAGCACAAGUCUGA